GUGAGACAUCCCAUGCAUUAAUUUUAUUCCAUUUCAGAUAUAGACAAAGAGUUGGUCAUGAAGUAUUAAAACAACUCUAGAUCGCCAUUCUCAAUGAAAAACAAAAAAAGGGUUAUAAGGCCACAGCAGGGAUCACUUCGCCUCCUAUGUGGUACCUGUCGUUACAACUAAAGAGCAUGGCAUACCCAGAGCAACAUUUGCAAGCAAUAAAUCUGCAAUAAAUGGG